UCCCAUGUAGCUUCCCGCUCCGAAUGAUUUCUCCACAAAACCUUAACAAACGGAAUAGUCUUCCUCCUCAUAAUCCUUUCUUGACAAUCCAAAAUCGCCUCAGCUUGCUCCUCACAAGUAAGAUCCUCCCGAAUCUUAUCGAACGGAUAUUGCACCGCGUGCAAGGGAUGAUAAUGAUAACUUCUCAACACCGACACAUGGAACACAUUGUGCACAUGAACAAACUGUGGGGGCAAAGCUAACCUAUA
rnacentral:lncRNA from 1 species